UACAGAGGUCCCAAGCGUUGUUCGGAUUCACUGGGCGUAAAGGGUGCGUAGGUGGCCGGGUAAGUUCGGUGUGAAAGCUCUGGGCUCAACUCAGAAAUGGCAUUGAAUACUAUCCGGCUAGAGGGUUGGAGGGGGGACUGGAAUUCUCGGUGUAGCAGUGAAAUGCGUAGAUAUCGCGAGGAACACCAGUGGCGAAGGCGAGUCCCUGGACGACUCCUGACUCUGAGGCACGAAAGCUAGGGGAGCAAACAGG
rnacentral:rRNA from 1 species